GAAGGUCGUGGUUGCGCAAAGCUUAGGACCAGCAUCGGCUGGUGAGUCCCCGCCGCCUCUGAACCAUUCCCCGCCUCCGCAGAACCACCCGCCUCCAGCUGCUAGCAACUCUCCACCCCCCGCGAACAUCCCACCUCCACCGCACCAUUCUCCUCCGCCUCCACCACCACCACCGCACUCAUCCCCUCCACCCACUCCAGCUUCCUCACCUCCUCCGCCUCCUCCCACGGAUAUCAGCCCGCCAUCUCCACCAAACCAACUGACGAAUCCUCCGCCUCCACCUCCACCAGCACCUGCAAACAAAACCAGUCACGCUCAUCCUGCGAAAACAGCUGGUGCUCCUUCGGCAUCAACUCUCCUGCCGCCAACCCCUUCUACAGACACCGCUCCAUCGCCGUCAGAGUCC
rnacentral:lncRNA from 1 species